CGGCAACAGCUCAAAUUUGAAAUCUGGCCCCAGGCCCGAGUUGUAAUUUGCAGAGGAUGCUUUUGGCGCGGUGCCUUCCGAGUUCCCUGGAACGGGACGCCAUAGAGGGUGAGAGUCCCGUCUUGGACCGCGGUAGGGCUCGUGUAAAACUCCUUCGAC
rnacentral:rRNA from 1 species